AUUUUUGAACUAAAACAUGAGGAAUAUAGUACUAGAGAUUUUACUGCUUGUUGCAGUUGUAAACUUUGAAUUAAUUGAAUAUACUUCUGCAGUACCUUCGUACGGUUCGAGUAUUACUGGAUUUAGAUAUUGGAAUACACGAUGUGAUAUGAAUUAUGCAGACGACUGGCUAGGAUACUGGAAUAACGAUGGCACACGGAAUGAAUAUCGGAGAUCACCUAGUAAUACAUUUGAGCCAUGUCCAUGCGGUUCGUGUUCAAAUAACGAGCUACAAUGCAGCACAUUUGGGCCUGGAAACAUAUUGUAUGUAUAUACUUACUGUUCAACAGUUUGUUUAUAAUUACUUAAGCUUUUUCAAACGUUUGUUGUGGCCUUGUAGUUACUGGCUUUCUUAUCAUAACACGCAAGGUCGCAAUAUUGCAUUCAAUUUAUAGUUUCUAAUGACAAACGUAGAAUGUAUUGAAUGCGUUUCCCGAG